rnacentral:rRNA from 1 species
UACGUAGGGUGCAAGCGUUGUUCGGAAUUAUUGGGCGUAAAGCGCGUGUAGGUUGCUAAGUAAGUCGAUUGUAAAAGCCCUAGGCUCAACCAAGGAAGUGCAUUCGAAACUACUUAGCUAGAGGAUGGCAGAGGAAGGUGGAAUUCCAAGUGUAGAGGUGAAAUUCGUAGAUAUUUGGAGGAAUACCGGCGGCGAAGGCGGCCUUCUGGACCAUUCCUGACACUGAGACGCGAAAGCGUGGGGAGCAAACAGG